GGAGAGGUUCCCGAGUGGCCAAAGGGAACAGACUGUAAAUCUGUCGGCUUAUGCCUACGAAGGUUCGAAUCCUUCCCUCUCCACCA
rnacentral:tRNA from 1 species